rnacentral:rRNA from 1 species
AGCGGCGGACGGGUGAGUAACGCGUGGGUAACCUGCCUCAUACAGGGGGAUAACAGUUGGAAACGGCUGCUAAUACCGCAUAAGCGCACAGUACCGCAUGGUACGGUGUGAAAAACUCCGGUGGUACAAGAUGGACCCGCGUCUGAUUAGCUGGUUGGUGAGGUAACGGCCCACCAAGGCGACGAUCAGUAGCCGGCCUGAGAGGGUGAACGGCCACAUUGGGACUGAGACACGGCCCAA